UUGACAGCCUUGGAGACCGAAGUAAUUUAGUUAUCCACACAACAGUUGUAGCAUGAGCAGCGACACUGCAAGUUUCCUGAUGCCCAGCCAAUGUGCCUCAAACCCGAGCCCACGUCUGAUUGUUGGAACCGGGCCUGAACACAGGUCCUAAAUAGCCAUCAGCUGGUGUCAUUA
rnacentral:sRNA from 1 species